rnacentral:rRNA from 1 species
AUUGAACGCUGGCGGCAGGCCUAACACAUGCAAGUCGAGCGGAUGAUGGGAGCUUGCUCCUGGAUUCAGCGGCGGACGGGUGAGUAAUGCCUAGGAAUCUGCCUGGUAGUGGGGGACAACGUUUCGAAGGGAACGCAAAUACCGCAUACGUCCUACGGGAGAAAGCAGGGGACCUUCGGGCCUUGCGCUAUCAGAUGAGCCUAGGUCGGAUUAGCUUGUUGGUGAGGUAAUGGCUCACCAAGGCGACGAUCCGUAACUGGUCUGAGAGGAUGAUCAGUCACACUGGAACUGAGACACGGUCCAGACUCCUACGGGAGGCAGCAGUGGGGAAUAUUGGACAAUGGGCGAAAGCCUGAUCCAGCCAUGCCGCGUGUGUGAAGAAGGUCUUCGGAUUGUAAAGCACUUUAAGUUGGGAGGAAGGGUUGUAGAUUAAUACUCUGCAAUUUUGACGUUACCGACAGAAUAAGCACCGGCUAACUCUGUGCCAGCCGCCGCCGUAAAAC